UCUACGGCCAUACCACCCUGAAUAUGCCUGAUCUCGCCUGAUCUCGGAAGCUAAGCAGGGUCGGGCCUGGUUAGUACUUGGAUGGGAGAAUGAUAUAUUUAAAGUGCUGAAAGGA
rnacentral:rRNA from 1 species